UGGGGAAUUUUGGACAAUGGGGGCAACCCUGAUCCAGCCAUGCCGCGUGAGUGAAGAAGGCCUUCGGGUUGUAAAGCUCUUUCGGACAGAAAGAAAUCGCACGGGUGAAUAAUUCGUGUGGAUGACGGUACUGUAUGAAGAAGCACCGGCUAACUACGUGCCAGCAGCCGCGGUAAUACGUAGGGUGCGAGCGUUAAUCGGAAUUACUGGGCGUAAAGCGUGCGCAGGCGGUUGUGUAAGUCAGAUGUGAAAUCCCCGGGCUCAACCUGGGAACUGCAUUUGAGACUGCACGGCUAGAGUGUGGCAGAGGGGGGUAGAAUUCCACGUGUAGCAGUGAAAUGCGUAGAGAUGUGGAGGAAUACCGAUGGCGAAGGCAGCCCCCUGGGCCCUUACUGACGCUCAUGCACGAAAGCGUGGGGAGCAAACA
rnacentral:rRNA from 1 species